UUCCUCCUGAGUCUUAUACCAGCUCAGGGCCAAAAGGCCCUGCCUCAGUAAUUGCCUGAUGAGUGAUAGACUGCUAGUAAAUGACAUUGGUAAUUCAGCCGUGUCCAACUGGGUCCGACAUGCAGCUUUAGCUGCUAACUACUGCUGCCCUCUCAGUGACCCUCAGACAGAACACACACCAGGCUAAUGUGUCCAGGGGCUGUCUGCUGUGAGCUCUCCAAAGUGUUAGCAUGUGGAGACGGGCUCUGAGUUGAUGAAGGAGACACAUGAGUGAAGAUGGAUUUGACUGAUACAGAUUAUGAUGAAUUUGUGAUUUGCUUGAGUUUAAACAGCAUUAAGUCACCUAAACUGAAGUUCACAUCCGUCAUAGUAAGAAGGUUACUCGAUAAGGAGCAGCCUCUUACCCUGACGGGUGUGAA